UUUGCCGAAACUGCAACCUUCGGGCUUUUAGCAUGGGCAAUAAUCCUCGCGAGACAGGUCCGGUAACGAAGUUACCGUGGACGGUUGAUCUGAGGGAUCCCAAUGCCUGAUCUUUCAUUCUUAGCUGACAAGUGUAAGAGGCAGGAUUAACCUGCAGUUUAGAGUUCCGCGCGUGUACUAAGACAGAUAGCCUUUUCCCGCUAAAUAGCUAGGCAAAUCAGUGCAUGUGCGAAAUAGGAGAAAGUGUGCAAAGUGAGCAAGGAGUAUCGCUGCUAGUCAUCAUCCACUACACUUUCGUCAGCCCCAGCAGCAUUCCUAUGCAACACGAGCAUCGUCAAACGUUUAUGCCUGUACGGAACAGGCCGAAGGACCAAUAAUCGGCACCACUACCCUUGAUGAUCUCACCCGUCUACUGAUCGAAGCGCACGCUGUGCGCUGCCAGACAGCAGAGCAGACAACCGAGGAGACAAUAGGCGAGACGACAGAGUGACAACCCCCGUUUUUGACCCAGCGUGGCGCUGGUAGCGUACCGAAAGGAGUUCGGUAA